CCCCGCUCCGGACAGCUGGCUGAGGGCGGCUGGGCAGGAGGCUAGGCCGCCAGGCUCCCGCCCUCGGCUCUCUGGCCCGCACUGCGCCCCCCCCCAUCCGUAUGGCCCCUUCACCCUAAGGGAGGCUGCUUCACUGGCUACCGUCCGCGGCCCCUGCCCGCUCCAGCUGCUUGGGCAGCAGCGGUUGACUUGCCUCGAUUUGGAGAUAGACUGGUUCUGCAUUCACCAGGGCCUUUUAACAACAGCAGCGGCAGCGCACGGGUGAGAAGCAUCAAGGCCCAAGAGGAGCGGAGGGCGACUGGCUGCCCAAGAGGCGCUGCGUCCUCCGGGGGCCCAGAGCCCGGACGGCAGCAUGCGUGCCCUGGAGACAGCACUACCCUGGAAGAGCCGAGGGGUGCCUGGGUUCAGGACAGCAAUGUGACCCUGGCCGUCGAUCAGAGGUACAAGUGGUUGCAGCUCAGAGUGAUCUCGUGUGGACUGACGGCCGUGCCUCCUGUGUCACGUUUUCCUCUCCUGCUCACCCCACCCCUCAUGAGCUUGGAAGGAGGCCAGGGGUGCAGGAGUUGGGAAGGGUUUUUUUCUCCUUGUGUCAGAAAUGCCAUGUCCUGUUUGUAAUGCUGAAACAUACCCGCACACUGCAGGGAGGUUUCUUCUCUUAAAAGUGAGAGGCUGUUCAUUC
rnacentral:lncRNA from 12 species